UCACCUCUCAAGCCUGGCUUGCUGUUGGAUCUCGGUUUUCGUCUCGGCGGGAACCUGUCCUAAAGAUAAUGACGGUGUCUAUGAGGACUCCAGUACAUUGAGCUUUUUGAGCACGUACGAGGUAGAACUCUAGGCCCGGUCUUUACCCCACAUUAUAUCAA
rnacentral:misc_RNA from 1 species